GUGCUUGUAGCUCAGUUGGUAGAGCACUUGACUUUUAAUCAAGUUGUCGAGGGUUCAAUUCCCUCCAAGCACA
rnacentral:tRNA from 1 species